UCAAUAAUCAACAUAAGCUGGAUGUAAAUGUUUAAAAACAAAAAUCAUUCACUUUUUAAUUUAAAAAUUUGUUGAUAAAUUUGGUUGAUGUAUUGAAAAUAAGGUAGCCUUCUUUUAUUUUGGCUACCUCAUAGAGUGAGAGAUAUUUUUAUUUGUGGGCUAAAUUUCUCUCCUGAUAGGUCAUAAAAAACCAAGACUAUUGGGAAUUGCAUACAUUUUAAAUGAAACCUAAGUGUCAUACGGGAUGAACUCAUACCAUUAAAAGACGGUUUGUGAUCUUACAUUCAACAUGGGCAUUGUACCAAACUGUGUCCUAAAUGUUAAUAUCAACUUGUAAUAAGAUACAAUGUUAAAUUGGACAGUGUAUUUAUCAUAACAGUACUUACCUACCCUUGAAAGUAUACAUCAAUUUCCAAUAUUUUUAGGUUCAUUACUGAGAUUAUGUGAAUCAUUAACCGGUUUUCCAAAUAACAACGAUUAUUUAGUUUGUAAACUUGGUGUGUUUGGUACAAUGCCGAAUAGGGUAAGAUCAAAAUCAGUGCAAAAAUCAAAAGGAGCAGAUUCGUCAGGUAGAAGCACAUCUAUUCCCAGAAACUGUAAAUCUUCUUCGCUAACAAUAAAUAAUAAUAUUAUAGAUUUUGAUUAUUUAUCGAAACCAUCUAAUAAGAUUGUUAUGGGUAAUAACCAAAUAAAGUCUAGGCCUAUUGAAAAAGAGGUUGAAACCAAGAAAGAAAUAGAAGAAGCAUCUGGUUGGAGCAGUGAUGACCUUGAUGUAGUUUAUGAUCUGCAGGAAGAGAAAAAGAACAAAAUAUAUGAAGUGGUAACUGUAAUGAGUGAUGAUGAAAACCCAACAAAAUCACAUAUGAAAGGCUUUAUGCUGAUGAUGGUGAAAAUAAAGUGAUUGAAAACCCAAAAGACUUGGAUAUUAGUGAUAAAACUGAUGUGUUAAGUGUAAACAAUGCUGCACAGGUAUUCGCUUCGAUUUUGGAUGACAUUUUAUCUAUAGAGAAAGUGGCAACUGUUGAAAAUAUUGCGAGUGCAAUCACAGACUCAAAAGAUGAUAGUGAUAACGAUGUGGUAUGUAUUGCUGUAGUGAAUGCAAAAACAAAAGAAGAACAAAGGAGAGCCAAUAUUGAAGAAAUUUGUUUAUCAAGUGACUCGGAAUCUGAGAGUAGGCUCAUAGUACCUCAUCUUAGAGUAUAAAUGAAACAGAACGAAUAAAUACUACUAAAUUGCCUACACUUCAUGUAACGUCAACUGGAAAUUUGUUAAGGCCUUUUUAUGUAUGUUGGCGGCUGUUGUGUUUCUUGACCCGGUUUGUCAUUUACAAACACUUAUUCCCCGAGUACUACAUUUUUAUUAUUUUAACUUAUUGUUGUUCCUAACAUUAUAAUGACAUAGGCAAGGUAUGAAAACAAGAAAGCCUCAUUGAACACAAAACACUUUUAUAACCACUUGUUUGUUUUUCUUUUCCUUUUUCAUCUAUUGAAUUUUUCGGAAACUUGUGGUACUAAAUAUUGAGUUAACUUAGUGAAACAUGGAGUAAAGAAAUAUUUAGACUGACCAAGAUGGAAUAAAAAAAUUAUUAAGAUAUAUGAAUAAAACUUAUAAUGAAGAAAUACUACCUGAUUUUCUACACUGUAUGUAAGUUACACGUGAAAUUUACAAACUGCGGGGACGAUCUGGUAAUAUUCUUUUUCCUGCGUUUAUUUGAGAUGUAUAAAUUUUCAGUACUUGGUCAACAGGUUUUUAUUGUUGACUUGUGUCAACGAAAGACUUUCUCUACUAUCAGACAUGUAUUUUUUACAAAAGUCACAGGUUUCCCUUUAACUCUUGAGCCUUUCCCCUGCCUAACUUUUAGUGCAAUUUUGCACGCAUUUAAAACCCCAAAUUUCUAAGCUAUUUACUGUGGUUUCUGAAACAACGAACUAUUUUCCCUUUUCUAAGAAUAGUCUCCAGUAAGUUUGUAUGGCAAAUGUUGAGUGUUAUUAUUUGUAAUAAAUUAUCAAAGAAUAA